rnacentral:rRNA from 1 species
GACGAACGCUGGCGGCGUGCUUAACACAUGCAAGUCGAACGAGAAAGGCUCUUCGGAGCUGAGUACAGUGGCGAACGGGUGAGUAACACGUGGGCAACCUGCCCUAGGGAGCGGGACAACCCGAGGAAACUCGGGCUAAUACCGCAUAAUUCGUACGGUCAUAAGUCCGUACGGGAAAUGGUAGCUUCGGCCUCCGCCCUGGGAUGGGCCCGCGGCGCAUUAGCUUGUUGGUGUGGGUAACGGCCCACCAAGGCGACGAUGCGUAGCUGGUCUGAGAGGACGAUCAGCCACACUGGGACUGAGACACGGCCCAGACUCCUACGGGAGGCUG